rnacentral:tRNA from 1 species
GCCCGGGUGGCGAAACUGGUAGACGCAGCAGACUUAAAAUCUGCCGGCUUAGGCCGUACCGGUUCGAUUCCGGUUCCGGGCA